GCAUAAAUACUAGAAAUAAUGCUUUUGAACUUUUGAAGUUACAAAAGGAUGCUAUAUUUUAUUUCAAAGUAAAAGUAAACCGCUUCAAAUUUCUGUUAACAAAUAAUCUUUUGGCCCUUUUGUAACGAGAAAUGUCAGAGAUUGUAAUGUCUUAUUUGUUAUAUUGGAGAUUGUCGCCUUUGAAAAGUCCGAUAUUUCUUAUGCUCGAGAUUGUGUUCGUGGCAUUGGAGUGUUUAAAGAGUAUGUUUCUACUGGAUAAUACGUAUGCGAAUUUUAUUCGAGUUUGAGGUACUGAAACUGUGAUGAACGGUUCUUAGUAGUUUGCACCCAUAGUGNAAGUAAAUAUUGAAACCUACGGUUAAUUAGUCGAUGGUUUUUCUAAUCGGAAUUUCAUAAUCUCCGCGGAUUUUUUUGCAUGGUUCAACAUUGUAUCCAUGAUUACUACGAUUAUUCCUAUUAAGGUCCUUGGGCAUAGUAUUCAAAGUGCAAUAUGUCCAUGUUACUUUUCUGUAAUCUGUGAAACCAUAGAUCUCUAACUAAUAACUUUAAAAAACUUGAUGUACAAUUCAUGCGUAUAUAACUAUAUAAUUUCGAACGCGAAUUUAAUUCAUGUGUUUUGAAUAGUUUUUAAAACAUAAGUCCCCUGAUAAAACGUUAAAUCUUAAUGGCAUUUCUUAUUCUGAAUGCAUAUAUACUAGAAAUAAUGCUUUUGAACCUUUAAAGUUACAAAAGGAUGCUUUAUUUAUUUCAAUGUAAAAGUAAACCGCUUCAAAUUUCUGUUAACAAAUAAUCUUUUGGCCCUUCUGUAAAGAGAUAUGUCAGAGAUUGUAAUGUCUUAUUUGUUAUGUUGGAGUUUGUCGCCUUUGAGAUGUCCGAUAUUUCUUAUGCUUGAGAUUGUGUUCGUGGCAUUGAAGAGUUUAAAGAGUAUGUUUCUGCUGGAUAAUACGUAUGCGAAUUUUAUUCGAGUUUGAGGUACUGAAACUGUGAUGAACGGUUCUUAGUAGUUUUCACGCAUAGUGUUUAACCUAAAUCUGAUUCACGUUUCCCCA